GGUGUCCAAGUCACACAGAACCACAGAAUCUCACAGGUGUCUCAGAAUUCCUUCUCCUGGGACUCUCAGAGGAUCCAGAACUGCAGCCUGUCCUCGCUUGGCUGUCCUUGUCCAUUUACCUGGUCACAGUGCUGGGGAACCUGCUCAUCAUCCUGGCUGUCAGCUCUGACUCCCACCUCCACACCCCCAUAUACUUCUUCCUCUUCAACCUGUCCUUGGCUGACAUUGGUUUCACCUCGGCCAUGGUUCCCAAGAUGAUUGUGGACAUGCAAUCGCAUAGCAGAGUCAUCUCUUAUGCGGGCUGCCUGACAUAGAUGUCUUUCUUUGUCCUUUUUUUUUCAAUUAUUAUUAUACUUUAAGUUCUAGGGUACAUGUGCACAACGUGCAGGUUUGUUAUAUAUGUAUACAUGUGCCAUGUUGGUGUGCUGCACCCAUUAACUCGUCAUUUACAUUAGGUAUAUCUUCUAAUGUUAUCCCUCCCUCCUCCCCCCAGCCCACGACAGGCCCCAGUGUGUGAUGUUCCCCAUCCUGUGUCCAAGUGUUCUCAUUGUUCAAUUCCAACCUGUAAGUGAGAACAUGCGGUGUUUGGUUUUCUGUCCUUGCAAUAGCUUGCUGAGAAUGAUGGUUUCCAGCUUCAUCCAUGUCCCUACAAAGUACAUGAACUCAUCCCUUUUUAUGGCUGCAUAGUAUUCCAUGGAAGACAUGUCUAAUGUUUAAAGGUUGUAAAUAAGGCAAAUAACUCAUAAAUAAAACAUGUCCUGUUCUCUUAUCUUGAUACAUAUACCUUAAU
rnacentral:lncRNA from 10 species